rnacentral:lncRNA from 1 species
CUUUUCGGGGUCGAGUCCGAGGGGGAAGAGGUUUGUUAAUACGUUCGCCAUGUGCUACGAUCUUGGGACGAACUGAGCCACGAGCGUGGCUUUGAGGGCCGUCCGAACGCUGCAGGCCGGCCAGGUCCCUGGGCGUCCAGGCCUGGCCUACGCACCACUUUGUCCCUUAGCGUUUAAAGGUUUCUUCCCGAAUCUCAGGCCCUCAGCUACCUGCAGGUUUCGUCGCGAGCCGGCUGCAAGUUUUGAACCUAAGUAAACCUCAAUCCGGAGGGCCUAGCGGUAAGGUGGGCGCUGUGUCUAUUGAAGUGCUUAGCAAUAAAGAAAGGUAGUGAGUUGAUUCGG